UACAGAGGUUGCGAGCGUUAAUCGGAUUUACUGGGCGUAAAGCGUGUGUAGGUGGUUGUACAAGUCGGUUGUGAAAUCCCUGGGCUCAACCUGGGAACUGCUUCCGAGACUGUACGACUAGAGAUCGGUAGAGGGCGGUGGAAUUUCCGGUGUAGCGGUGAAAUGCGUAGAUAUCGGAAGGAACACCAAUGGCGAAGGCAGCCGCCUGGGCCUGAUCUGACACUGAGACACGAAAGCGUGGGGAGCGAACAGG
rnacentral:rRNA from 1 species